rfam:Pseudomonas sp. FeS53a scaffold6.1, whole genome shotgun sequence.
UUGCGCAGAUGAUAGUUCAGUCAGCAAUCUUCGCAAUCCUCUGUCGCGCUGCCCGACGUAAGAUUCUCUCCAGUUUCACGGCCCGGACACAUGUCCAACCGACCCGCCCAAUCAGGCGCGUCGGCGCCGCCGAACCCACCGGUUCGAGCAGGCCCCCGGGUCCGCACUGCCCAACCAGGCAGGCGACGAAAGCAGCGACACAAUCGCCAGCACAGGACGAAUUACCCCGAGAGGAGGCCCAUGGAACGGGCCUCCUU